AUUUAUAUAGUUUAUAAAAAACAUUUUACUUUCAUUAAAAAAAAGGUUAUAAACCUAUAAAUU
rnacentral:tRNA from 1 species